rnacentral:lncRNA from 1 species
AUGUUGUUCGCACCUGUCCAGUCUGGGGCCCAACUGGUAAAAGGACUGUCUUCUUGGAUUUUCCAAAGUUCUCUUAUGGCCAACAAAUUGAAAACUGAACCCAUUACAUCAUCACCCACACACCUACCCAAACCUGCUUCACUUGCCUGUGAUGGAUCCAGGUUUCAGUUUGACGGAUGGGUCUUGAAUAGACCUGAUGCCCACUCAGCUGCUGGAUGCCUUUCUCACAACAGACUUCUCCAGUCUCCCCAGAAGGAACUUGGGCAAUCAUUACCUUGAAGAUACCCAGAUCCUGUAAAAGUAAUGCUUGGACUUGGAAGGUGGAAUUAAAAUUUUUGCCUCUUGUUUCAUAAAAGAUAAGGGUUCUGGAUUUGAGGAAAACCAAUUAAAAACUGACAGGCCGAUCAAAACUAUGUGGGUUGUCCUACUCUGCUAUCUUACAAUUCCAUGUGAUAAGGGACAAAGAACAGUGCUGAACAUAGAAAUCUCUUAGACAUAUGAGUUUGACUGUCUAACUGGGGUGAGCAAAGCCAGAUAGAAAAUCAUGCCAUUUCAGGAAAAUAAUGUAAGAUGUUUGAGGCAGGAACUUUGCUUACUCCCCUACUGAAUUUCCUGUACUUAAAGCCAUGUCAAGAACACAGUAGGCAAUCAGAAAAUGUUUUUUGAAUGAACAGAGAAGAGUAAUGUGUUCAAAGAGGAUCUCUAGGCCCAUGAGCAAUGGUGCAGACCUGAUUUUCAUGCAUGCUGCACUCUAUCCUGUGAUCAGGGCUGGUGAUAUUCUCAUGGGCUGCAUAAAUGUUGAAUCCGUUUUGAAAAUUACUUUCAAACUCCUACACAAACUCUGAUUUCUAUGGUUGGACAGUAUUCAAGGUUCAAAUUCCCCCCCUGUAAGCCAUAUAAUUUUCAUUUCUUAAUGUUUGUUUUCUGUGUUUUAAGUAGUUAGUUCAAAAAUAAUGGUGACCAGUUAUUCUUUGCCUCUCCAGAAGAUAAUCAAGAGCCAACAGACAAACUGAAUGUUGACAUUUAUAUUGAGAAUUAGGAGAGAAAUAUUUUUACUAAUGUUAUGAAUGCUGAACUGUGGAAUGAGUUGCUUAAUCUGGUGGCCUCGACAAAACAUAAACUCUGUAAUCAUUGGUAUAGGCUAACUGGGUAGGAAUUGUG